rnacentral:rRNA from 1 species
GCCAGACUCCUACGGGAGGCAGCAGUGGGGAAUAUUGCACAAUGGGGGGAACCCUGAUGCAGCGACGCCGCGUGGGUGAAGGAGCGUUUCGGCGCGUAAAGCCCUAUCGGCAGGGAAGAAGGAGGACGGUACCUGACUAAGAAGCCCCGGCUAACUACGUGCCAGCAGCCGCGGUAAUACGUAGGGGGCAAGCGUUAUCCGGAUUUACUGGGUGUAAAGGGGGCGCAGACGGCGAUGCAAGCCAGGAGUGAAAGCCCGGGGCCCAGCCCCGGGACUGCUCUUGGAACUGCGUGGCUGGAGUGCAGGAGGGGCAGGCGGAAUUCCUGGUGUAGCGGUGAAAUGCGUAGAUAUCAGGAGGAACACCGGUGGCGAAGGCGGCCUGCUGGACUGCAACUGACGUUGAGGCCCGAAAGCGUGGGGAGCAAACAGGAUUAGAUACCCCAGUAA